AAAUUUAGCUAAAACCCAAGUGAUCACCAUAGCCGUCUUGAUUCUACUAAGUUGCAGUCAAACUGAAAGCUCACCUAUAUUUCUAGGGUUUGAACCUUCUGAAAGUAGGAGUGGCUUGGGUUUUCUUUAAGUCAGUGUGUUUUUGAUGUUUUACAUAUUUGGAGGGUUAGAUUACAAGAAUGCAAGCCUUAAUGUACUUUCUGUAUAACCACAUCCCUUGUUCAGCAGCCUUAGCUGGGAAAUGACACUCCGUGCCAAAAACAAGAAGCUUAACAUUUUGCUGUCUUCUUCCCAAGCAACAUUCACAACUUUUCUACGAGACUUCUUUAUUGGUCAUUGGCUUCCUAUUCAUUUCUGGACCAGAGUAUACCCAGACAGCAAGCAUACUAACAGGAUGAGAAACCUAAGAGGGACUGGGGUUGUUGUAACCUCGAGAAGAAUGUUUCAAAGGUUCAAGAUGAUUGUUCUUAAAGAUCUGAAGGUUUCUAGAGGAAGAGCAAUUUGAUUUUUUUCACUGUGGCUUUAGGAAAGCAGAAAUAAAGGCAACGAAUGAAUGGAAAUUAGAGACAGAUUUUGCACUUAUAUUAAAUUGAAAACAAUUUGAAUAUUUCAAGACUGAAGUAUAGUUCUUCCAAUUGGAUGUGUCAAGCAAACCACCUUAAAGCACAGAGGAUGUUGAAGACAGGGACCAC
rnacentral:lncRNA from 1 species